AAUCCAUGGUAUGGACAUAUAUUCAUCAAAUCCUUAAAUCUCUCCUACCAAGCUUGGAAGGUCUCAUCACCUUUCUGCAUGAACUAACUAAUAUGCUUCUUCAGGUA